CAUGUAAUGAACUUUCACUGCAACUACAAAGGAAGAAUGAGGCAAUCAAUUAAAACUACUUCUCGUGCCAGUAGUCAAAACACACGAUGUUUUCGGUUUCGACUGUACACAGUGCUGUCGGUUUCGGUUUCGUGCACCGUGACGGCCGGACGUGGAUGGAUGGACAAGCCUCGGCCAACAAGUGGAAGAAGACUUCUCCUUGGCGCAAGCACGUGCUCACUUAUCAUCAUCAAGGCGCUCGAAGAGCAAGAGGAAGAAGACUUCUCCUUGAUGGAAGCUAACCAGGCACAGUUGAAUGCAAAAAAAGCAGUGGGUGUUCCACGCCUGCUAUAUGAAAGGAACCAUAGGCUUGCUACAAUGAGGUUGAGACUUCAGCUGUUCGCAGGCUGGCGCUGGUAUGUACAAACAAUGCCGCUGCAUACGAAUGAUGCUACUAUGCUUGCGUGUUUUCUUCCUGGUAAGUGCAUUGGAUAAGCCUCUGAGACAUAUUUAUUUCAGCAAAAAUACUUUUUUUAUUAAUAAUACAUAUAAGUUUCUUUUCCAUUCUUAUUUUAAUUAUUCAUGAAUAAGCAAAGCAUCUACACAUCAUGAACCGCGAUCGUCGGCUCCUCUCACAUGCUUUCACUUACAUAAAGAACAUACACCG